rnacentral:rRNA from 1 species
UAAGGAAUAUUGGUCAAUGGACGCAAGUCUGAACCAGCCAUGCCGCGUGAAGGAUGAAGGUCCUCUGGAUUGUAAACUUCUUUUAUCUGGGACGAAAACGGGAUUUUUAUCUCAAUUGACGGUACCAGAGGAAUAAGCACCGGCUAACUCCGUGCCAGCAGCCGCGGUAAUACGGAGGGUGCGAGCGUUAUCCGGAUUUACUGGGUUUAAAGGGUGCGUAGGUGGGCUUAUAAGUCAGUGGUGAAAUCUCCGAGCUUAACUUGGAAACUGCCGUUGAUACUAUAGGUCUUGAAUUAUCUGGAGGUAAGCGGAAUAUGUCAUGUAGCGGUGAAAUUCUUAGAUAUGACAUAGAACACCAAUUGCGAAGGCAGCUUACUACAUAUAAAUUGACGCUGAGGCACGAAAGCGUGGGGAUCAAACA